rnacentral:rRNA from 1 species
UACGUAGGGUGCGAGCGUUAAUCGGAAUUACUGGGCGUAAAGCGUGCGCAGGCGGUUUUGUAAGCCAGAUGUGAAAGCCCCGGGCUUAACCUGGGAAUGGCAUUUGGGACUGCAAGGCUUGAGUGCGGCAGAGGAGACUGGAAUUCCUGGUGUAGCAGUGAAAUGCGUAGAUAUCAGGAGGAAUACCGAUGGCGAAGGCAGGUCCCUGGGCUGACACUGACGCUCAUGCACGAAAGCGUGGGGAGCAAACAGG